rnacentral:lncRNA from 1 species
GCAACUGGCUCUCUUCAUUUCAGCCUGGACCACAAAAUCUAAAGAAUAGGAGUGAUCACCAAGCCCCCUUGUCACCUCCUUUCCGGGAGACUGAAGCUGAUGGCAGAUGAUGGCAGCACCCUGGACCCAGAGCUUCCAGCUUGGCUGUGCUAGGGAGAUGGCUGCAUGAAUCAAGCAAGAUCCUGACACACAUUGUUUACGGUGUGGCAGAUUCUUUACCACUUUACCGCUAGUGCCACCCGGGAAGCCCCUCUGAGACUUAAAUGUGCACAUAAAUAUAGAAAAUACACAUCU